ensembl:snRNA U6 U6 spliceosomal RNA
ACUGUUUUGACAGCCGAUGCCAUUAAAACUGGAACCAUACAGAUAGAUCGGCAUGGUCGCUGCACAAGAGUGACAAGCAACCAAGUGAAGCAAUCCAUAUAUUU